UCUUUUAUUAUUGUUUUUUAAUGGAAUGAUAAUGAUCCUGGAAUAAGUAUCCUGCAAAUGAAAAGGCUAAUAUAGCAGUUGCCCUGAGGAGCUUAAAUAUAUGGGGAAAAAAAAAUGGGCACACUAGCCUAAAGGUCUGGAAUGGUAAAGGAUAUGUUCUUGAACUCCACUAAUCUCAGUAACGGGGGUUGUGAUGUGAAUCUUGUAUCAUGCUCACAUGUAUCUGAAGUUCAAAGUAUUGCUGUGCUGUGCAAAGGUCUAUCUCACCUCAGAGCUGUAGGAAUAGCAAAGAAACAAGUAAAAACAGACAGACGAGAAAGGAACAUUACUGAUAUCCCCAAAACAAAAAGAAGAAAAAGAUUCCAUGGGCAUUUCUCUUUUUAUCUACAAUUACUUUUACCUUGCGAACAGUUAAAAUGAUUUUUUGAGGCAUGCCCUACUUCUGAAUGUGAGAGAAGACAACAGGUUAUUUGCAUGUUUGCAAAUUCAUUUCAGUACAAGUAAAUAAUCAGUCUCCUUUCAAAUAAAGUCUAACUUCAAAUGCUAUCAAAAAUCAUCAAUAUUUGAUAAAUUAAUUUGUAUAUUUGUUUUUCAUUUGUACUUCACCUACUGUUUUGAGCAUUAAAGAAAGAUACAUAUGCAUUUUUAUCAUUUUCCUUAACAUUUAGUAACUGAUAAAGACAUUAUUUUAUAGAAGUUUCAUUUCUUUUUCACAAAAACAGUGGCGAUUUUCAACACAAAACUGCCACAACAAAACCUUUAUUUUUAUGACAAACUCAAAACUUUCUAUAAUUCAGCCUAGUAAGAGCAACCUGAGAUGGUGAUAGAAGACUUGUAAAAUAAAGCAUUACCCAAGACUUUCAGUAAUUCGAACUGAAACAGUUAGUCCAUAAAGGGUUUUCACAGUUUAUCUGCACCUAUUUAUAUAAUUUCUUAAUCUUUUCAUAUACAGUAAUUGAUGAUCUAUCUUUACAUACAUAUUCCACAUGUUUUCCUGCAAUUGCUAACUUUAGUAAUAUCUUGUGAACUCGUUACACAGAUAAAUUACAUAAACUUCUCUUUUAGGAGUUUUUUGUUGUUGUUGUUGUUGUUGUUUUUUGUCUUCCAAUUCUAUUGAAUGUUUCCAUUGCUCUUCUGUAGAAAAAAAAGGAAACAAUAGGACGCUACAGUUCCUAAAUUAUGUACUACAUAAUGCUGUCGUGAAAUAUGUGAGUGUAUUCUUCCCAGUUAUCUAUGAUCUUAUCUAUAAUGCCUAUAAUCCAAUAGGCAUC
ensembl:lncRNA